UGUCAGUAACCCCCAAGACACACGUGACCCAUCACCCCAUCUCUGACCAUGAGGCCACACUGAGGUGCUGGGCCCUGGGCUUCUACCCUGCGGAGAUCACACUGACCUGGCAGCAGAAUGGGGAGGACCAAACUCAGGACACCGAGCUUAUGGAGACCAGGCCAGCAGGGGAUGGAACUUUCCAGAAGAGGGUGGCUGUGGUGGUGCCUUCUGGAGAAGAGCAGAGAUACACGUGCCAUGUGCAGCAUAAGGGGCUGCCAGAGCCCCUCACCCUGAGAUGAGAGCCGUCUUCCCAGCCCACUGUCCUGAUCAUGGGCAUCAUUGCUGGCCUGGCUGUCCUAGGAUCUGUGAUCACUGGACCUGUGGUCGCUGUUGUGAUGUGGAGGGGGAAGAACUCGGGUGGAAAAAGAGGGAGCU